UACGUAGGGUGCAAGCGUUAAUCGGAAUUACUGGGCGUAAAGCGUGCGCAGGCGGUUUUGCAAGACCGCUGUGAAAUCCCCGGGCUUAACCUGGGAAUGGCAUUGGUGACUGCACGGCUAGAGUAUGUCAGAGGGGGGUAGAAUUCCACGUGUAGCAGUGAAAUGCGUAGAGAUGUGGAGGAAUACCGAUGGCGAAGGCAGCCCCCUGGGAUAACACUGACGCUCAUGCACGAAAGCGUGGGGAGCAAACAGG
rnacentral:rRNA from 1 species